AGCAGCCGCGGUAAUUCCAGCUCCAAUAGCGUAUAUUAAAGUUGUUGCAGUUAAAAAGCUCGUAGUUGAAUUUCGGGAUUAGUAAGUUGGUCGUGCCUCUGGUAUGUACUGGCUUUACUGGUUCCUCCCUCUUGAAGAACUGUAAUGUCAUUAAUUUGGUGUUGCAGGGAAACAGGACUGUUACUUUGAAAAAAUUAGAGUGUUUAAAGCAGGCUAACGCUUGAAUACAUUAGCAUGGAAUAAUGAAAUAGGACGUUUGAUCCUAUUUUGUUGGUUUCUAGGAUUGACGUAAUGAUUAAUAGGGAUAGUUGGGGGCAUUAGUAUUCAAUUGUCAGAGGUGAAAUUCUUGGAUUUAUUGAAGACUAACUACUGCGAAAGCAUUUGCCAAGGAUGUUUUCAUUAAUCAAGAACGAAAGUUAGGGGAUCGAAGACGAUCAGAUACCGUCGUAGUCUUAACCAUAAACUAUGCCGACUAGGGAUCGGAUGAUGUUAAUUUUUUAAUGACUCAUUCGGCGCCUUA
rnacentral:rRNA from 1 species